rnacentral:hammerhead_ribozyme from 1 species
AUCCAACUGACGAGUCUCAAAUAGGACGAAAUACGCAUCUUGGAU